rnacentral:rRNA from 1 species
UCCUACGGGAGGCAGCAGUGAGGAAUAUUGGUCAAUGGACGAGAGUCUGAACCAGCCAAGUAGCGUGAAGGAUGACUGCCCUAUGGGUUGUAAACUUCUUUUAUAUGGGAAUAAAACAGGGUAUGCAUACCCUCUUGUAUGUACCAUAUGAAUAAGGAUCGGCUAACUCCGUGCCAGCAGCCGCGGUAAUACGGAGGAUCCGAGCGUUAUCCGGAUUUAUUGGGUUUAAAGGGAGCGUAGGCGGUCUGUUAAGUCAGCGGUCAAAGCCCGGGGCUCAACCCCGGCCCGCCGUUGAAACUGGAAGG